rnacentral:lncRNA from 1 species
UAGAGAAAUUUAUUUUUUUCUGGAACUUUAUGGUAUGCAUUAUUAAAUCCUUGCUACAGCAGUAUAAAUGAUCCUUGAAGGAGUCAGAGCCCCUCCAACUACAAGCAAAGGACUUUCGAUGUUGAGAUAUGGUCCCAAUGGUGCUCUUCAGUAAUCCCUAUUUUCUUUACUACGGAAAACUGUAAGAAUAUCUAAACUAGCAGACUUAAGCAUCAGAAUGGAUGAAUACUCAGUCAGAAGAAAUGCAGAGCUGCAGGUUUGUCCACAAAGUGUUCCCAUCAACCGUAUCACUUCCCCCAGCUUGACUAUAAACUUUUGGAAAAAUAACUAGAGGCUUUGGAAGAGAGGACCAGGGUAAAGAAGACAUGAUCCAUUUCUUAUGUGGUCUCGAGGUCGAGGAACUGGGGAUGCCUAACAAGGAGACUUGGUAAGGAAUGCUUGAGUGCAAGGUAAAGACACACAUAGAUAUUUUCAAAUACUGAAGGAUAGGUUCAAC